GGCCCUAUGGUCUAGUGGUUAGGACGCCGCCCUCUCACGGCGGUAGCUGGGGUUCAAAUCCCCAUAGGGUCA
rnacentral:tRNA from 1 species